UACGGGGGGAGCAAGCGUUGUUCGGAUUUACUGGGCGUAAAGGGCGCGUAGGCGGCGCAACAAGUCACUUGUGAAAUCUCCGGGCUUAACCCGGAGCGGUCAAGUGAUACUGUCGUGCUAGAGUGCGGAAGGGGCUACUGGAAUUCUCGGUGUAGCGGUGAAAUGCGUAGAUAUCGAGAGGAACACCUGCGGGCGAAGGCGGGUAGCUGGGCCGACACUGACGCUGAUGACGCGAAAGCCAGGGGAGCGAACGGG
rnacentral:rRNA from 1 species